rnacentral:rRNA from 1 species
UACGAAGGGUGCAAGCGUUAAUCGGAAUUACUGGGCGUAAAGAGUGUGUAGGCGGUGCUCUAAGUUCGGUGUGAAAUCUCCCGGCUUAACUGGGAGGGUGCGCCGGAAACUGGAGUGCUUGAGCGCGGGAGAGGAAAGCGGAAUUCCUGGUGUAGCGGUGAAAUGCGUAGAUAUCAGGAGGAACACCUGCGGUGUAGACGGCUUUCUAGACCAUUGCUGACGCUGAGACACGAAAGCGUGGGUAGCAAACAGG